rnacentral:rRNA from 1 species
UAUUGGAUCUAGACUUUGAUUAUGGCUCAGGAUGAACGCUAGCUACAGGCUUAACACAUGCAAGUCGAGGGGAAACGAUAUUGGAAGCUUGCUUCCGAUAGGCGUCGACCGGCGCACGGGUGAGUAACGCGUAUCCAACCUGCCCACCACUUGGGAAUAACCUUGCGAAAGUAAGACUAAUACCCAAUGAUAUCUCUAGAAGACAUCUGAAAGAGAUUAAAGAUUUAUCGGUGAUGGAUGGGGAUGCGUCUGAUUAGCUUGUUGGCGGGGUAACGGCCCACCAAGGCGACGAUCAGUAGGGGUUCUGAGAGGAAGGUCCCCCACAUUGGAACUGAGACACGGUCCAAACUCCUACGGGAGGCAGCAGUGAGGAAUAUUGGUCAAUGGGCGAGAGCCUGAACCAGCCAAGUAGCGUGCAGGAUGACGGCCCUAUGGGUUGUAAACUGCUUUUAUAAGGGAAUAAAGUGAGCCUCG